rnacentral:rRNA from 1 species
UACAGAGGGUGCGAGCGUUUGUCCGGAAUCACUGGGCGUAAAGGGCGCGUAGGUGGUGGCUUAAGCGUGCGGUGAAAGCUCGGGGCUCAACUCCGAGUCGGCCGUGCGAACUGGGCUCACUGGAGCAUAGUAGAGGCAGGUGGAAUUCCGGGUGUAGCGGUGGAAUGCGUAGAGAUCCGGAAGAACACCGGUGGCGAAGGCGGCCUGCUGGGCUAUGGCUGACACUGAGGCGCGAACAGCGUGGGGAGCAAACAGG